UGGGGAAUAUUGGACAAUGGGCGAAAGCCUGAUCCAGCAAUGCCGCGUGAGUGAUGAAGGCCUUAGGGUCGUAAAGCUCUUUUACCCGGGAUGAUAAUGACAGUACCGGGAGAAUAAGCCCCGGCUAACUCCGUGCCAGCAGCCGCGGUAAUACGGAGGGGGCUAGCGUUGUUCGGAAUUACUGGGCGUAAAGCGCACGUAGGCGGUUAUUCAAGUCAGAGGUGAAAGCCCGGGGCUCAACCCCGGAACGGCCUUUGAAACUAGAUGACUAGAAUCUUGGAGAGGCGAGUGGAAUUCCGAGUGUAGAGGUGAAAUUCGUAGAUAUUCGGAAGAACACCAGUGGCGAAGGCGACUCGCUGGACAAGUAUUGACGCUGAGGUGCGAAAGCGUGGGGAGCAAACA
rnacentral:rRNA from 1 species